rnacentral:tRNA from 3 species
GCCCCGGUAGCUCAGAGGAAGAGCAGGUGCCUUUUAAGCACUGGGUCCGGAUAUCGUAAUUCCGUCGGGGCACGA